CACGUAGGGUGCGAGCGUUGUCCGGAAUUAUUGGGCGUAAAGAGCUCGUAGGCGGUGUGUCGCGUCGGCCGUGAAAACCUGCAGCUUAACUGUGGGCGUGCGGUCGAUACUGGCAUCACUGGAGUUCGGCAGGGGAGACUGGAAUUCCUGGUGUAGCGGUGAAAUGCGCAGAUAUCAGGAGGAACACCGGUGGCGAAGGCGGGUCUCUGGGCCGAUACUGACGCUGAGGAGCGAAAGCGUGGGGAGCGAACAGG
rnacentral:rRNA from 1 species